GAUGAACGCUGGCGGCGUGCCUAAUACAUGCAAGUCGAGCGAACGGACGAGAAGCUUGCUUUUCUGAUGUUAGCGGCGGACGGGUGAGUAACACGUGGAUAACCUACCUAUAAGACUGGGAUAACUUCGGGAAACCGGAGCUAAUACCGGAUAAUAUUUUGAACCGCAUGGUUCAUAAGUGAAAGACGGUCUUGCUGUCACUUAUAGAUGGAUCCGCGCUGCAUUAGCUAGUUGGUAAGGUAACGGCUUACCAAGGCAACGAUGCAUAGCCGACCUGAGAGGGUGAUCGGCCACACUGGAACUGAGCCACGGUCCAGACUCCUACGGGAGGCAGCAGUAGGGAAUCUUCCGCAAUGGGCGAAAGCCUGACGGAGCAACGCCGCGUGAGUGAUGAAGGUCUUCGGAUCGUAAAACUCUGUUAUUAGGGAAGAACAUAUGUGUAAGUAACUGUGCACAUCUUGACGGUACCUAAUCAGAAAGCCACGGCUAACUACGUG
rnacentral:rRNA from 1 species